rnacentral:rRNA from 1 species
GACGAACGCUGGCGGCGUGCCUAAUACAUGCAAGUCGAACGAAGCUGUUUUAACUGGUGCUUGCACCGACUUAAACAACUGAGUGGCGAACGGGUGAGUAACACGUGGGUAACCUGCCCCAAAGCGGGGGAUAACAUUUGGAAACAGAUGCUAAUACCGCAUAACCACAGAAACCACAUGGUUUCUGUGUCAAAGAUGGUUUCGGCUAUCACUUUGGGAUGGACCCGCGGCGUAUUAGCUCGUUGGUAAGGUAAUGGCUUACAAAGGCAAUGAUACGUAGCCGAACUGAGAGGUUGAUCGGCCACAUGGGGACUGAGACACGGCCCAAACUCCUACGGGAGGCAGCAGUAGGGAAUCUUCCACAAUGGACGAAAGUCUGAUGGAGCAACGCCGCGUGAGUGAAGAAGGUUUUCGGAUCGUAAAACUCUGUUGUCAGAGAAGAACGUGUGCGAGAGUAACUGCUCGUGCAGUGACGGUAUCUGGCCAGAAAGCCACGGCUAACUACGUGCCAGCCGCCGCCGUAA